rnacentral:rRNA from 1 species
AACGAACGCUGGCGGCAUGCCUAACACAUGCAAGUCGAACGAGACCUUCGGGUCUAGUGGCGCACGGGUGCGUAACGCGUGGGAAUCUGCCCUUCGGUUGGGAAUAACUGAGAGAAAUUUCAGCUAAUACCUUAUAAUGUCUUCGGACCAAAGAUUUAUCGCCGUGGGAUGAGCCCGCGUAGGAUUAGGUAGUUGGUGGGGUAAUGGCCUACCAAGCCGACGAUCCUUAGCUGGUCUGAGAGGAUGAUCAGCCACACUGGGACUGAGACACGGCCCAGACUCCUACGGGAGGCAGCAGUGGGGAAUAUUGGACAAUGGGCGAAAGCCUGAUCCAGCAAUGCCGCGUGAGUGAUGAAGGCCUUAGGGUUGUAAAGCUCUUUUACCCGGGAUGAUAAUGACAGUACCGGGAGAAUAAGCUCCGGCUAACUCCGUG